GCGAAGCCCCCCGCACAGGCUCACGGCGGCGAACGAGUCUGGCUCGGCGUUCACGUCCCCGGAGUACAAACAGCGCCGCAAGUCCGCAGAGUUCGCGGUGAGCUCCCGGAGCGGGGCGCCCAGGUGCUCGGUGGUGAAGGAUCUGAAGACUCUUGGGAAAGAAAAAGCAACGGCCUGGACCAUUCUGUCACCUCUGGACAGCUCAGCUGGGCCUUGUGCCCUUCACCAACCAGGCUGGCCUCCUCACCUGCUUCAGGCCUCAGCCCUCAGGCGGCCUCCUUGGGACUGACCACCCAGUCCCAAGCCACAGUCCGCAUGUUUCAUCUUGCCCAUAGCACUUUCCUCUCUCUAAACCUACGUAUGCUUGAAUCUUGGCUUUUUUAUCGACCUAUGUCCCUGCCCCCACUGGAAUGAGAGCAGGACCUAGUCUGUACUGCUGCCUCCUCCAUAGCAGCGACACUCCAGGACCCCUAGCGGAUGCCUGGGACUGCAGGUAGGUCCAAACCCUUGCUAUACUGGUUUUUCCUGUACAGGCAUACCUAAGAUAAAAUUUACUUUAUAAAUUAGGCACAGCAAGAGAUUAACAACCAUUAGUGACAAAACAGAACCAAUUAUAACAAUACACUGCAAUAAAAGGUAUUUAAAACUCGG